rnacentral:rRNA from 1 species
UAAUACGGAGGGUGCAAGCGUUAUCCGGAUUUAUUGGGUUUAAAGGGUGCGCAGGCUGAUAUGUCAGUCAGUGGUGAAAUCCCGGGGCUCAACCCCGGAACUGCCAUUGAUACUACAUAUCUUGAAUACGGUUGAAGUAGGCGGAAUGUAGCAUGUAGCGGUGAAAUGCAUAGAUAUGCUACAGAACACCGAUCGCGAAGGCAGCUUACUAAGCCGAUAUUGACGCUCAGGCACGAAAGCGUGGGGAGCGAACAGGAUUAGAUACCCUGGUAGUCCACGCCGUAAACGAUGAUCACUCGUUGUUGGCGAUACACAGUCAGCGACCAAGCGAAAGCGAUAAGUGAUCCACCUGGGGAGUACGAUCGCAAGGUUG